AUGGCUGUCGUCAGCUCGUGUCGUGAGGUGUCGGGUUAAGUCCCAUAACGAGCGCAACCCCUAUUUUUAGUUACCAGCGAGUAAUGUCGGGAACUCUAGAAAGACUGCCUGUGUAAACAGUGAGGAAGGUGGGGAUGACGUCAAAUCAUCACGGCCCUUAUGUCUUGGGCUACACACGUGUUACAAUGGUUACUACAGUGGGCUGCCAUCUGGCAACAGAGAGCAAAUCCAUAAAGGUAAUCCCAGUUCGGAUCGGAGUCUGCAACUCGACUCUGUGAAGUUGGAUUCGCUAGUAAUCGUAUAUCAGCAAUGAUACGGUGAAUACGUUCCCGGGCCUUGUACACACCGCCCGUCAAGCCAUGGAAGUUUGUGGUGCCUGAAGUCAGUAGCCGUAAGGAGCUGCCUAGGGUAAAACAGAUAACUAGGGCUAAGUCGUAACAAGGUAGCCGUACCGGAAGGUGUGGCUGGAAUAUCUCUUUUUUUGAGUAUUGUUUGUGUUAAUUCUAUCUUCUUUUUUCCCUUUUUGAGUCUCGUAGCUCAGCUGGUUAGAGCGCUACACUGAUAAUGUAGAGGCCGGCAGUUCGAGUCUGCCCGGGACUACUUUAUAGAGGGGGGAUUAGCUCAGCUGGCUAGAGCGCCUGCCUUGCACGCAGGAGGUCAUCGGUUCGACUCCGAUAUUCUCCACAUCAAAGUUCUUUGACAUAUUGUAAUGAAUAUAUAUACUUAAUUUUUAAAAGUUAUUAAGGGCGUAUGGCGGAUGCCUAGGCUCUCAAAGGCGACGAAGGACGUGACAAGCUGCGAUAAGUUUCGAUAAGGUGCAAAUAACCGUUUAAUCGAAAAUUUCCGAAUGGGGAAACCCGG
rnacentral:sRNA from 1 species